UACGUAGGGUGCAAGCGUUGUCCGGAAUUAUUGGGCGUAAAGAGCUCGUAGGCGGUUUGUCGCGUCUGCUGUGAAAAUUCGGGGCUUAACCCCGGGCCUGCAGUGGGUACGGGCAGACUAGAGUGCGGUAGGGGAGACUGGAAUUCCUGGUGUAGCGGUGAAAUGCGCAGAUAUCAGGAGGAACACCUAUGGCGAAGGCAGCUCUCUGGGACGGUACUGACGCUGAGACGCGAAAGCGUGGGGAGCGAACAGG
rnacentral:rRNA from 1 species